AUCUGAAAGGAUGAGUAGGGCGGGCGCGGUGCCUCACGCCUGUAGUAAUCCCAGCACUUUGGGAGGCCGAGGCGGACGGAUCACCUGAGGUCGGGAGUUUGAAACCAGCCUGACCAAACAUGGAGAAACCCUGUCUCUACUAAAAUUACAAAAUUAGCUGGGCGUGGUGGCGCAUGACUAAUUCCAGCUACUCAAGAGGCUGAGGCAAGAGAAUCUCUUGAACUCAGGAGGUGGAGGUUGCGGUGAGCCAAGAUGGCACCAUUGCACUCCAGCCUGGGCAACAAGAGGGAAACUCCGUCUCAAAAAAAAAAAAAAGGUUGAGUAAGGUUUCGGCAGACGGUGAAGACUCCUCGUCUUGGAGGAAUGGUAGCAAAACACACCCACAUGAAUGAUUUCAGCCAACAGAGAGCACCCAUUCCUUAGCACAGAGCCAAAUGAGUGGCAUAGAAAGUGUCGAAGGUUCACGUGGGUUCGAUAAUGAGAAUGCCCUCAGUCACAAACAUUUUAACCAAAAGUUGAAAUAAUGAAGUAUAUAGGGUAAGAAAUGUUCAAUCCAGCCGUGACCCUAUCCAAUGACAGUUUUAUUGGUCUGCAAAUCCUUGCAAUGCCACCAAGGAGGAGAUUGAACAAAAGUGAGAUCAUAAAUGAUACUAAAUGUUAGGGACAGAAGAUGAUAAGUAAAAACAUUCAAGCAGCAAGCAUAAACCCAACUUUUGGGAAAUGUGGGGGGAAAUAAGAUGGUUUUUAGGGCAGGUAGCAGCCCUGAGAGUAUAAUUUUUUUUUUUUUUUUUUGAGACAAAGGCUGGAUCUUGGCUCACUGCAAUCUCCACCUCCGGGUUCAAGCGAUUCUCGUGCCUCAGCCUCCCGAGUAGCCGGGAUUCCAGGCACGCACCACCACAGCCGGCUAAUUUUUUUGUAUUUUUAGGGAAGACAGGGUUUUGCCGUGUUGCCCAGGCUGGUCUCAAACUCCUGUGCUCAGCCAAUCCGCCCACCUUGGCCUCCCAAAGUGCUGGGAUUACAGGUGUGAGCCACUGCACCCGGCCUCAAUUUUCUGAUCAGUGGUAGGGAGUCAGAAAACAAGUUCUUCAUGCCAUCACACCAAGUCUAACCCUCUAAAAAGUCUUGUUCCUCAUGCUAACAGUUGCUUCAAUAACAACCUCAUAAAUUGGUGGUAAAGACUCACUGGUUUCCAUUACAUAUUGAAAGUUUGGAUUCUAAGGCUGAUAAUCUGCUCAUAUGGGAUAAAUCUAUCUUGCUUUUUUUUUUUUUUUUUUGAAACAGGGUCUCACUCUGUUGCCCAGUUUAGAGUGCAGUGGCAUGAUCAUGGCUCACAGCAGCCUCAACCUCCUGGGCUCAAGCAUUCCUCUGCCUCAGCCUUCCAAGUAGCUGUAGCUGGGACUACAAGUGCGCACCACCAUACCCAGCUAUUUAUUUUUUUAGAGACGGGAUCUCUCUGUUGCCUGGGCUGAUCUCAAACUCCUGGGCUCAAGCCAUCCUCCUGUCUCAGCCUCCCACAGUGUUGGGAUUACAGGUGUGAGCCACUGCACCCAGCCUUAAUGUCUUUUUAAAUGCCCCUAUCUGCAGUUUCUGUCCUUAAAGGAAAAUGUCAUAUAUUUAUAACUGGACAUCAGGAAGGAAAGCACUGUACAUUAAUUUUACUCUGAAUGAUUGCCUGUGCCUUUUUAUAAAGUCACAUUCAAAUGUGCAUUGUCACCCAGGAGAAUAUCAAGCCUAAUAGGAGGACUUUGCUGCUUGCAAAAUCUGGAGAUACCUUACUCUGUGCUUUUUUGUCCCUGGAUACUAUGUUUGGAGUGGUGACAAGCUUAGAGAAAUGAGAAGAAAAUGGUGAUGCAUGGAAAGUAAACAGUGAAAUGGUUGACUCUUGAAGCUCUGGUCUUCCUUUGGAAAAAUUCCCCAUUCAAGGUCACAGAGCUUUUUAGUGGCAGGGCUAGGAAAGAACCCAACUGGUACACUUUUGGCCACUGAACUGCUACUCUAGGCAUGGGGCAGUGAUUUUAAGUAUGAUUCCAGAACCAGCAGCACCAGCGUUGUCUGCGUAUUUGUUAGAAAUGCACAUUCUUAUGCCCUGCCACAGACCCACUGAAUGGAACUCGGGCUGGAGUCUAGUAAUCUGUGUUUUAAGAAGAAACCCUCCAUCCUGGCCAUCCCCAGGUGAUUCUGGUGUGCAAUAAAGUUUGAAGAGCCACUGGCAAACGAGAAUGAGACUGAAUGGGUGGCAGAAUGAACUGGGAAGGGAUCUGGUGCAAGACCUAUUAUUUGUUUCAGUAUCCUCAUCUAUAAAGGGGGAGUAAUCACCAGGCUGUCAAUCUGCUGCUAGUCGUGAGUAUGGAAUGAAGUCAAAUACCACAGGACUUGCCCCAGACAGUGGAGAGCUGAAGGCAUGUCUUAGCUUAUAAAAACUGCUCAUUUCUUCCCAACUGUACAUUUGGUGACAUGGUAGCUUGAAAUUAGCUGUGGUGAGAAACUGGAAAACCCUACAAUCAGGGCCUGCCUCUCAACCCCAGCUGGAUUAAGAGAAAAUGUAAAAUUAGGAGAGAAAUCUGUUUUAUGUAUCUUAGCAGGACUUCAAAAUCACAUAUCAUGAAUCUAGGAAGCCACACAUUUCCCAGGUGUGGGGUAAGAAGAGAAGUGCCUAAAGCCAGACAUGCAAGUUUGAGAGUUCUUAUUCCAGGAGUGAUAGGUGAAGUUGCAGAGCUAUGUGAAUUCUUCCAGCCUGAGGGUAUUGAUGUGGAAGUGAGGGCUGAACACAGAACUCUGAGGGAUAUGAAGCUAAAGAAUGAUUAAAUACUGGAGAAGAAUGGGAGUAGUCACAAAGGAGGACAUCCAGAAAGUUAGUCAUGUCUUAUGAAGAAGUCAAGGAGAAAGCUGUAUUGUUUAUUAGUCAUGGUACUUAAUGACAAACUCUUGAAUAAUGGCUUUAUGCAAAAUGUCUUUCUCCCUAAUGUGAGCCAAGUAACCUGCCUUCAAUCUUCUGACAACACCAUCUGGAACUUGAGGCCUUCCAGACUGACGCAGCAGAGAGGCACACCAGCAAUGAACUGGCUGAGCUGGGAAGUGACACACACACAUACCACUGUUACGUAGUUUAUUGGCCAGAACUACUCAGCCCCCAUCUAUUUGCAAAGGAAGUUUAAAGAUGUGGGGAAGAGGAUAGAGUCUCAUUCGCCACCCAGGCUGGAAUACAGUGGCAUCAUCUCGG
rnacentral:lncRNA from 10 species